rnacentral:rRNA from 1 species
AGAGUUUGAUCAUGGCUCAGAAUGAACGCUGGCGGCGUGCAUAACACAUGCAAGUCUAACGAGAAAUCUCUCGCUUGCGGGAGAGAGUAAAGUGGCGCACGGGUGAGUAACGCGUGGGUAACCUGCCCUUGAAUCUGGGAUAACCCCGUGAAAACGGGACUAAUACCGGAUAUAGUCCCAAAAACCAUGGUUUUUAGGAUAAAAGGUGACCUCUUUAUAAAAGUUGCCGUUUGAGGAUGGGCCCGCGUACCAUUAGCUUGUUGGUGGGGUAAUGGCCUACCAAGGCUACGAUGGUUAGCUGGUCUGUGAGGAUGAUCAGCCACACUGGAACUGAAACACGGUCCAGACUCCUACGGGAGGCAGCAGUGAGGAAUUUUGCGCAAUGGGGGAAACCCUGACGCAGCAACGCCGCGUGAGUGAAGAAGGCCUUCGGGUCGUAAAGCUCUGUCAAGUGGGAAAAAAUGCUUUUGANUAAUAGUCAAAAGAACUGANGG